AGCUUGCUCUGCAGGCUGCCACAUGUGCCUGACAAGCCUCAGAUUCCAGAGCUCUAUGGCUCAUCUGCUUGCUAAACCUGUAUUUUCCUACACUGACUUAGCACAAGAGUCCUCUAGAAGUGCACUGAGAAUGAGAUAGAUUGAAAGUGAGCUGGAGGUGAGCUGAAAAUAAACAUAUCAAAUAGGAGACAAGCAGAGAGCACAUCCCCAGGUAAAAACGGAGGCUGCUCCACAGAUAAUUUAGGAUGGUGUCCAUAAGUAAUUUCAUGACAUUUUCUUUUUGAAAAACUGAGGAAGAAAGGUCUCAUUGUAGACAGAAAUUCUAGACAGAAAAUGGUUUUACAAACCA